rnacentral:rRNA from 1 species
GCGUAAAGCGCACGCAGGCGGUCUGUCAAGUCGGAUGUGAAAUCCCCGGGCUCAACCUGGGAACUGCAUUCGAAACUGGCAGGCUUGAGUCUUGUAGAGGGGGGUAGAAUUCCAGGUGUAGCGGUGAAAUGCGUAGAGAUCUGGAGGAAUACCGGUGGCGAAGGCGGCCCCCUGGACAAAGACUGACGCUCAGGUGCGAAAGCGUGGGGAGCAAACAGGAUUAGAUACCCUGGUAGUCCACGCCGUAAACGAUGUCUACUUGGAGGUUGUGCCCUUGAGGCGUGGCUUCCGGAGCUAACGCGUUAAGUAGA